CGCCUUUCUUGACGUUUCUUUCUGAAACAUGACGUAAACCAAUAUAUAUGAUCAUUAUAAGGAAUUUUUCAAUAAUUUGCACUGACUUGUGAUCACAUUUACUUAUUACAUUACUCUAUAGACCUUUAAUUAUGUCAACUGGUACAUAAAGGAGAGCUUCAGGAUCAGUAGCAGCAAUUUCUUCAAUAUUUACCCCACCUUUACUAGAUGCUAUCAUAACAAUUCCCUACAAAUAACUUUUGUAUGAAUUAAUAAUAAAUAAAAGUAGACAAUUUAUUUUAUUUAAAUAAUGUAUUUUCUUUUGAUUAUUUAUUUGUACAAUUAACUUAAUUGUAGACUUACAUUAAAAGUACGCUCCAACAUUAUUGAAAGAUAAUAUUCUUUUCGUGGAAACAUGCGUGUUGUCACCAUCACUGAAUUACAAAUUCUUCCAGCAGCUCCUGUUUGUUUAGUAAUCAAUAAUUUUCCGAUCAUAAUUUCUGAUAUUUGCUUUACUUUCUCAGCACUAAUGGUAAUAAAAAGAUAUCAGCAGUGGCAAUAAAGUAAUUAUUAUUAAUUAUUUA